CCAUGGCGGUUCUCUCUCCCGAGAAACUAAUAGAUUAUAUGCAUUUGGAGAUCCGAAUCCAUAUUUAAAGGUCUGAAAUCUGAAUUGACAGCGAUGGCGAUAGUGACCGGAGACUGGUAUCUGGACGCACUGGUGAAGUUCGUCGAGAGCCAUGCGGAGCUGUUGAUUGAAGGGACGUUAGUGCUCAAACUCAACCCUGUCGGUCUCCACUACGUGCACUCCAGGCUCGAGGCGCUGGCGGAGUUAGAAAGCUUGCUCGCCGGUGCUCCGGUGGAUUACUUCCGUGCCUACGUCUCGGACCUAGGUGACCACCGCGCUCUCGAGCAGCUCCGUCGGAUUCUCUGCCACCUAACAUCGCUUAAGGUUUUCUCCGUGCUGCCGCCACCGGCCAGGGAUCCCUCGCCUCUGUCGCUGCUGCCUUUUACCAGGCUUAAGGUUCUGGAGCUAAGAGGAUGUGAUCUCUCCACCUCCGCCGCUAAAGGACUUCUCCAACUCAGGCAAUCUUUGGAGAAAUUGAUUUGUCAUAAUUCAACUGAUGCAUUACGGCAUGUAUUUGCGAGUAGAAUAGCUGAUAUAAAGGAUUCUCCACAAUGGAAUCGAUUGUGGUUUGUUUCAUGUGCUUGCAAUGGUUUGCUUCUCAUGGAUGAAUCCUUACAGCUCCUUCCCGCUGUCGAAACACUUGAUUUGAGCAGGAACAAGUUUUCUAGAGUGGAUAAUCUUCGAAAGUGCACCAGAUUGAAGCAUCUAGACAUAGGGUUUAAUCACCUCAGAACUGUUGCAGCAUUUAGUAGUGAGGUUUCAUCUCAUAUUGUUAAGCUUGUUUUGAGGAAUAACGCUUUGACUACAUUGCGUGGGAUUGAGAAUUUGAAGUCACUUGAGGGGCUUGAUCUAUCCAACAAUAUAAUCUCUAAUUUCUUUGAGAUAGAAAUCCUUGGUGGACUGUCAUCUCUGCAAAAUUUAUGGUUACAAGGAAAUCCACUUUGUUGUGCAAGAUGGUACAGAGCCCAAGUGCUCAGCUUUUUUACUUAUCCAGACAAAUUGAAACUAGAUGAAAAGAAACACACAAAAAGUGAUAUAUGGAAGAGGCAAAUACUUAUUGCCAGGAGGCAGAGACGCCCUGCUAGUUUUGGAUUUUAUUCACCAGCAAGAGAUGAUGCUGAACCAGAAGGAAUCAUCAACACAAAAAAAAAAAAGGUACCCCGAUUUGUAAGCAUUAACGAUGCAGAAGAAAGUACAUGCCUGUAUUCAGAUGAUGAUUCAGUCUCUUUUGUUAAUGAGAUUCAUAACAAAGAGAAGAAUGCCAUUUCAUAUGAAGAAUCUGGAAUUGUAGAUUUAAUGAAUAGGAUUGAAUUUAUUAAGAAAGAAAAUAAUGGUCUAUGGUUGCAGGAGUUCAAAGAUUGGAUAGAUUGUGACAGUUGUGUUGUGGGUGUUAAUAGUAAAGGGACUAAUUUUAAAGCGGAGAGAGGUAAAGAAAGGAAAGGAAAGAUGAGAGGCAAGCAGAAUGAUGAGAGUUCAAGGUAUGUAUCCAACUCUGUUCAAUUUUCUGGAGAAGAUGGCAAUAUGGAAGUUCUAGAUUCUGAUACUUUCUUUGCUGAAACUUCCCUUAGUUUCAGUGAAAAAAAGUACACUGAUCAGAUAAGCGAAACAGAGUCAAAGAUUUUUGUGGGUCAUGUUGAUGGGAACUUUAACAGUAUGAAAAGCACCAGAAAUAACCAGGAGAAUGUCAAAAUUUUAAAUGAUGAAGUGCUUCAUUCUGGACAUGCUAGAAUCUCUCCUUUUGAUUCUUCUGAAUUCUCCUCUUUGGAUAACAGUUUCACGACUAUACCUUCAUUUAGUACUACUUUGGAUGCUAGCCAUGGAUCACCUCCUCAUUAUAAGGAGGAUAUUUUGUAUCAACGCCACAACUUAGAAGAAGAGUUUCUACAGCUAUCUUCAGAGCCAUUCUUUGUAGCAUCAUCUGAUACCGAUACAAGUUCCAGUAAAGAUGAUUCUGUUCAAUAUGGAGAAUUCAUAUCUCCAAAGAUCAAUUUUUAGUUGAGGAUAUCUCAGAUAUGAGUGUGCAUGGAUUAAAUUUUUCCUGCAAAAUGUUCCAUAAAUGAUGCGAUUAUGAAAGUUUGCCUUUGAGCCAAAUUCCAAGCAGACCUCAUCCAGCUGUAUUGAGGUUCAACAAACAGAUAGAUCCUCAAUCUAUCCGAGGAAACUAAUGCAAGAAGACAAGAUGGAGCAAGUAAUAAAAUCCAAAUAAAAAUCCAUUAGAGAUGGUGAAGAUGGGAUUUAUUCUGUAAGCAAUUUCCAGAAACUUGCUAUUGGAGAUAACUUGUCAAAGGACUACAAUAAAAGAGGUGGAAACGAUGGAAAUGAAAAAUCAAACAGAGAUGGUGAAGAAUGGGAUUUAUUCUAUUGGGAAAUUACAGAAAGUUGUUGUGGACAUAUAACUUGUCAAAGUGCUAUGAUCAAAGUGCAUGCAAAUCAUGGAAAUAAAACUCUGUUUCAGAACAAAAAUUAUUAUUAUGGUGGGACAAAAAAAAAAUAAAUUCAGGAUUACUUCAGGACAAAUGUAACAGAAGUAAGGAUUAAUGAAAUCAUUCGGAAAUAAAGGAUGUGCCAUUAUUUGCUCCAGGAACAGUCUAGGUGCAUAGACAGAGCAAUAGACUAUUUGUCUCUAAAUAACUGACCACUAAGAGGAAAAAGGCGUUUCACAGAUGGAGUAGCAAGCAGCAAAGAGAAGCAAGUCUCUGGUCUCUUGACAUGGCUCUCAAAGAUACUAGUAACGAAAUGCACUACAAUAAUAUAAAUAAGGAUCUAAAACAAGACCCAAGUACCAUGUAACCGUUUUUUUAACAAGAUGGAAUAAACUAAUUUCUAACGACAUUAAACAGAAAUACAUAAAUUAAUGUAAAUAAAAAUUAUUGUACACUAUA